rnacentral:rRNA from 1 species
UACGGAGGGUGCAAGCGUUAUCCGGAUUCACUGGGUUUAAAGGGUGCGUAGGUGGGUUGGUAAGUCAGUGGUGAAAUCCCCGAGCUUAACUUGGGAACUGCCAUUGAUACUAUCAGUCUUGAAUACUGUGGAGGUCAGCGGAAUAUGUCAUGUAGCGGUGAAAUGCUUAGAUAUGACAUAGAACACCAAUUGCGAAGGCAGCUGACGAAACUAUAACUGACACUGAGGCUCGAAAGUGCGGGGAUCAAACAGG